rnacentral:rRNA from 1 species
UAGGGAAUCUUCGGCAAUGGGGGGAACCCUGACCGAGCAACGCCGCGGGAGUGAAGAAGGUUUUCGGAUCGUAAAGCUCUGUUGUUAAGGAAGAACGAGUGUGAGAAUGGAAAGUUCAUACUGUGACGGUACUUAACCAGAAAGGGACGGCUAACUACGUGCCAGCAGCCGCGGUAAUACGUAGGUCCCGAGCGUUGUCCGGAUUUAUUUGGCGUAAAGCGAGCGCAGGCGGUUAGAUAAGUCUGAAGUUAAAGGCAGUGGCUCAACCAUUGUAGGCUUUGGAAACUGUUUAACUUGAGUGCAGAAGGGGAGAGUGGAAUUCCAUGUGUAGCGGUGAAAUGCGUAGAUAUAUGGAGGAACACCGGUGGCGAAAGCGGCUCUCUGGUCUGUAACUGACGCUGAGGCUCGAAAGCGUGGGGAGCGAACAGG